rnacentral:rRNA from 1 species
UACGUAGGUGGCAAGCGUUAUCCGGAAUUAUUGGGCGUAAAGCGCGCGUAGGCGGUUUUUUAAGUCUGAUGUGAAAGCCCACGGCUCAACCGUGGAGGGUCAUUGGAAACUGGAAAACUUGAGUGCAGAAGAGGAAAGUGGAAUUCCAUGUGUAGCGGUGAAAUGCGCAGAGAUAUGGAGGAACACCAGUGGCGAAGGCGACUUUCUGGUCUGUAACUGACGCUGAUGUGCGAAAGCGUGGGGAUCAAACAGGAUUAGAUACCCCAGUAGU